rnacentral:rRNA from 1 species
GGAGCACCCUUUGGGUGUGACUGCGUACCUUUUGUAUAAUGGGUCAGCGACUUAUAUUCUGUAGCAAGGUUAACCGAAUAGGGGAGCCGGAGGGAAACCGAGUCUUAACCGGGCGUUAAGUUGCAGGGUAUAGACCCGAAACCCGGUGAUCUAGCCAUGGGCAGGUUGAAGGUUGGGUAACACUAACUGGAGGACCGAACCGACUAAUGUUGAAAAAUUAGCGGAUGACCUGUGGCUGGGGGUGAAAGGCCAAUCAAACCGGGAGAUAGCUGGUUCUCCCCGAAAGCUAUUUAGGUAGCGCCUCGUGAAUUCAUCUCCGGGGGUAGAGCACUGUUUCGGCUAGGGGGCCAUCCCGGCUUACCAACCCGAUGCAAACUGCGAAUACCGGAGAAUGUUAUCACGGGAGACACACGGCGGGUGCUAACGUCCGUCGUGAAGAGGGAAACAACCCAGACCGCCAGCUAAGGUCCCAAAGUCAUGGUUAAGUGGGAAACGAUGUGGGAAGGCCCAGACAGCCAGGAUGUUGGCUUAGAAGCAGCCAUCAUUUAAAGAAAGCGUAAUAGCUCACUGGUCGAGUCGGCCUGCGCGGAAGAUGUAACGGGGCUAAACCAUGCACCGAAGCUGCGGCAGCGACACUGUGUGUUGUUGGGUAGGGGAGCGUUCUGUAAGCCUGUGAAGGUGUGUCGUGAGGCAUGCUGGAGGUAUCAGAAGUGCGAAUGCUGACAUAAGUAACGAUAAAGCGGGUGAAAAGCCCGCUCGCCGGAAGACCAAGGGUUCCUGUCCAACGUUAAUCGGGGCAGGGUGAGUCGACCCCUAAGGCGAGGCCGAAAGGCGUAGUCGAUGGGAAACGGGUUAAUAUUCCCGUACUUGGUGUUACUGCGAAGGGGGGACGGAGAAGGCUAUGUUGGCCGGGCGACGGUUGUCCCGGUUUAAGCGUGUAGGUGUGUGUUCCAGGUAAAUCCGGUUCACUUUAACACUGAGGCGUGACGACGAGGCACUACGGUGCUGAAGCAACAAAUGCCCUGCUUCCAGGAAAAGCCUCUAAGCAUCAGGUAACAUCAAAUCGUACCCCAAACCGACACAGGUGGUCAGGUAGAGAAUACCAAGGCGCUUGAGAGAACUCGGGUGAAGGAACUAGGCAAAAUGGUGCCGUAACUUCGGGAGAAGGCACGCUGACACGUAGGUGAAGUGAUUUACUCAUGGAGCUGAAGUCAGUCGAAGAUACCAGCUGGCUGCAACUGUUUAUUAAAAACACAGCACUGUGCAAACACGAAAGUGGACGUAUACGGUGUGACGCCUGCCCGGUGCCGGAAGGUUAAUUGAUGGGGUCAGCGCAAGCGAAGCUCCUGAUCGAAGCCCCGGUAAACGGCGGCCGUAACUAUAACGGUCCUAAGGUAGCGAAAUUCCUUGUCGGGUAAGUUCCGACCUGCACGAAUGGCGUAAUGAUGGCCAGGCUGUCUCCACCCGAGACUCAGUGAAAUUGAACUCGCUGUGAAGAUGCAGUGUACCCGCGGCAAGACGGAAAGACCCCGUGAACCUUUACUAUAGCUUGACACUGAACAUUGAGCCUUGAUGUGUAGGAUAGGUGGGAGGCUUUGAAGUGUGGACGCCAGUCUGCAUGGAGCCGACCUUGAAAUACCACCCUUUAAUGUUUGAUGUUCUAACGUGGACCCGUUACCCGGGUUGCGGACAGUGUCUGGUGGGUAGUUUGACUGGGGCGGUCUCCUCCUAAAGAGUAACGGAGGAGCACGAAGGUUGGCUAAUCCUGGUCGGACAUCAGGAGGUUAGUGCAAUGGCAUAAGCCAGCUUGACUGCGAGCGUGACGGCGCGAGCAGGUGCGAAAGCAGGUCAUAGUGAUCCGGUGGUUCUGAAUGGAAGGGCCAUCGCUCAACGGAUAAAAGGUACUCCGGGGAUAACAGGCUGAUACCGCCCAAGAGUUCAUAUCGACGGCGGUGUUUGGCACCUCGAUGUCGGCUCAUCACAUCCUGGGGCUGAAGUAGGUCCCAAGGGUAUGGCUGUUCGCCAUUUAAAGUGGUACGCGAGCUGGGUUUAGAACGUCGUGAGACAGUUCGGUCCCUAUCUGCCGUGGGCGCUGGAGAACUGAGGGGGGCUGCUCCUAGUACGAGAGGACCGGAGUGGACGCAUCACUGGUGUUCGGGUUGUCAUGCCAAUGGCACUGCCCGGUAGCUAAAUGCGGAAGAGAUAAGUGCUGAAAGCAUCUAAGCACGAAACUUGCCCCGA